AUCUAUGGAGAUGUAAGAAUAUUACUGAGAAUGGAAUAGCGGAAUUGGCUUCUGGAUGUCCACUUCUGGAGGAACUUGACCUUGGCUGGUGUCCUACUCUGCAGAGCAGUACCGGGUGCUUCGCCAGAUUGGCACGCCAGCUCCCAAACUUGCAAAAACUAUUUCUUACAGCUAAUAGAUCUGUGUGUGACACAGAUAUAGAAGAACUUGCAUGUAAUUGUAUCAGAUUACGGCAACUGGACAUAUUAGGAACAAGAAUGGUAAGUCCAGCAUCCUUAAGAAAACUCCUGGAAUCUUGUAAAGAUCUUUCCUUACUUGAUGUAUCCUUCUGUUCACAGAUUGAUAACAGAGCUGUAUUAGAACUGAAUGCAGCCUUUCCAAAAGUGUUCAUAAAAAAGAGCUUUACUCAGUGACUUAAUAUAUAUUAUGUCACUAAAAGUUGAUAUGCUUUGUAAGGAUUUUAUUUGGGGGUGGUUUGGUUGUAUCUUUUGUUUUUAUAAUGGUGAGAAUUAAGACAUUUGUGGAUUUUAAAGAAAAAUAUGAAAUUUCCCAUUGAAUCAAGUAAAAAAUGUGAAGAAAUGUUCUCACAAAAUACUGUAAGCCAUUUUCAUCAAGAAUAUGUUAGUCACUGAUAUUAUUUUUACUUUGUGUUAAAGUGGAAUUAUGUUUUAAUCAAUAAUUGUGUUAAUAAAAGAAUAAUAUGAAAA